AACACGAUAUUAAUAUAAGGAGAUAAGAUUUUAAUAGUACAACUUGUUCAUUAUAAAACAAUUAACGUACUAUGCAAACGAUCAUAGCUAUAGGUCAACAGUGUCUGGUUGAGCUCACCGGUCUUCACGAGGGUUUAUUACACAUAUCUUCUGCAACUCAGACAGGAGUUGCAGAUUUACUUUCAGUCUCCACCUAAUUAUAGGUGGACAGAAAUGAGUUCCCAAUUUCAGAUGCUCCAUUUAGCAGAAAGUGUCCAGAAGGAUGGAGGUGGGAAAUUGCUUAUUGGUCGGAGAAUCCCCGUUUUUGGUAUGGGCGGUAUAGGAAAUUUUACUCUUAUUAAGUUAUCAACACGGAGAAAGAACAUCGCGUGCAAUGUUACUGCAGAAUUGACAAACUUUAUAAGCAUGCGUAUGAGGCUGAUACCCUCAGUAAUAUGACGCGCUUAGAGAUGCUAAGAGAUAGUAUAUGAAACUAUUGGCCUGUUGCAACAUUUGGAGGACCACAAGUCGUGAACAACAACUUGAAGUACUGGGUUUGAGUUAUAAUCAUCUUUUGUGACUUCAAGGCAUGCUUCCUCCAUCAUAACAUCUCUUAGCAUAGCUACUGUAUAAAGAUUAGAUUUGCGUUGACGAAUUAUGAUAUAAAGAACCCUAAAAAUAUACCUUCAGAAUGACAACACCCAAAAAAUGAAGGAAGAAUGUAUAGAAUAUUUACAUCAAUGUGGAAUUGAAGAGAGAAUAGAAAUUAAGGUAAUGUACAGAUUAGGAACAAUGCACCAGAAGCUGAAGAUGGUUGCAGUUGAUUUUUGUGGCUUUCAGCUGGGGACAUGGAAGGCUGUUCAUGGACAGAGUUAAUCAUUGUUCAUGAUUUUAUGAUUCUGCUCAAAUGUGAUGAGGUUGACAAUUAAAGAAUUUUUUUUGUCUGAGUCCUAUCUAUUUGUUUUUGUCUACUUUGGUUGUGAUUUUCAGUCUUGAUCACGUAUACUUAUAAUUUGGUUUAGAGUCAUGCGGUCUAUGUUUAGUAGGUGAUGAGGGUUCAAAUGAUUAUUUGGAAUGAUAAAUUAAUUAGUUGGUAAUUAGCAUACCAUGUUUAGUAAAUGGUUUAAGAUGAUACAGAC